CCUCGGCUAAGGCUUUAACUCUAGCUCUGCUCGCUGUACUUUUUACUGAAGAAUGCCGCGAAGUACGAGAAUGACGUGAUCUUGUUUCCGACAAUUUGUCGGAUUGUCUACGUUUUAUUGCAUUGAGUAGUGGACCAACUCGUUCGAGUAAGCCCGUUCUGGAACCAUUUUGGACUCUUCUCCAAAUUCCCCAAAUUUAUCUUGUUCGUACAGCCCUCCCAACCGCCCAAACAACCCUGUGAAUUCGUCGUGGGCCGUUGUUAGCUCGCCUAGAAACGCCCCAAUAUCCAUUUUGCCCCAGUCUUCCUCAUUGGCGUUCUCAGCCUUCUCUACUAAUUUAAGGAGCCUUUUCAAAGAUUUGCCAAUUUCGUUUCUUUUGAGUUCGACAGAAUAGCACAGUCCGCUGUGCGUCUUUUUCGUGCGGCGUGUGCCGUCCGCUUCGAUCUCCUCUGAGUGUUCUGGUGCUUCACUAUGACUCAUUUUGGAGGCUCCGUUAGAACAAUACGGUUUACCUCUGUGUUGUAGUUUACCAGACUUCUAACAGACUUUUUUACUGUUGCGUUCCCGGUUUAGUCAGACACGCUGGUGUGUUGAGGACCAAGUUCGCUAGCAUUAACCACUUCGCGUAGUGUGUAAAACUGAGCCCAAACUGGUUUUUGUAAUGGCUUUAUUACUUGGCUGGCAGAAUUACAGGAUCACAGGCACGAUGCGGUAAAAAACUAGGAAGCAAAAUAAUUACAGAAAAUUACAAUUCUAAUAUUUACAAUGAUUUCUAAGAAAUUCAGAUAAAGACAAAAAUGGCAAGAGCUGAACUUAGAAACUUACGUCUGUUCUGGAUUGUAAAAUAAUAGAGUUCUCCAACUCUUUAAGUGCUGUUGCUUCCUGAUUGCUGGCUUUGACUGAGUGAAUAAUGUGGUCACCGAACGUGUCCCAAUAGAGGAUACAAUGCAUUCCAAAGUGAUUACAACAGGAAAAGCUAGAUGCGGCUAAACAGCGGUUUUCCUUUAAAUGUCAAAAUGUUGAGAGCUAAUCAUAAUCUUAAGCGUGCGUUGAUAUAGCUAAGUGAUAACGAAAACAUUGAAGCAUCGGACAUUGAUGCAUGUCAGUUACACGUAGUCUUCAGACUAAAAGUUGGAGACAAAGUGCGUAUAAGUAUCUGCCAGGAUGGUCAGACGAAGUUUUUAAAAUCGUCAGCUGGCAGAGAUCAAGACCUACGACUUAUCGUUUACAGGAUCUAAAUCAGGAAGAUAUUGAAGGUCGAUUUUAUAAAACGGAGCUGCAAAAAGUAGAAAUAUCUGAGAACGUCUAUAGAAUAGAAAAAGUCUUGAAAAGAAGAAAACGGCGCGGAAAAACAGAGCUUCUUGCAGAAUUUCUUAAUUGGUCUACUUCCUUCAGUUCCUGGAUUAGGGAGGAAGCUAACAUUAUUCGGUAGGCCUGCUACACAAAAUCGGCCCUUAUUUUUCCUUUUAUUGCGAGGGUCACCGUCGCACGUCUUACUUUCUCUGUCCGCCAUAUUGAACUAAACCAACAUUAUGACGCCGAGCACGCACACGUGAUCGGAAGCGUCGUCACGUGAUUGCUUGGCCGAGCGAUUGAUGGAGGGGACAAAAACUGCGGAAAGUUCGAAAUUCCCUAAAAAACAAUAACGUUUCGAGGUUUUUACCGAUUUCGCUCAAAUUUUCAGCCAGUGUUUUUCAGAUAUCAAUAUUCAAAUAAACUCUAUUUUCGUUUCGUGACUGAGGCUCUUUAAGUCUUGCAUUUGUAGCGACGAUCUUCAAGGCUAAAGUCUUGACGUCGGACCGGUGUGUUAGACUGGACACAUCAAUUUUUGCGCCCGGGAACAACACUUUAGCUUUCCGUGCAAGGCUACCGAUCUUGACAGCACAGGUCUCCGCUGAAUCAGAGGGAAGGUUGUUGGUACCUGCGUGUAGAAUAAUUUGACUUGGGGCAGCGUGUCAGGGAAGGGAGAGCUUAUCUACAUGAUCCUUGAUAUACUCCACUGUUUUACCUGGAAAGAGUUGUUUUACCACCUUCCUUUGGGAGAGCUUUUUUUCCUCGAUGCCUUUGAGCAUUGAGUCGCCGAUUAAUAAAAUGAACUGGUUUAGGGGCUUCUGGCUGGGUACCAAGGCUAAUAUUAGCCGAUGUUUCCUCAUUGGUAGGAGUAGAAGUUGUCAUUAGAGGCAAGCUCUCAUGAUUGGAAGUCGAAGUGGAAGUAGAAGCUGUCGUUGAAGGCGAGCUCUCAUGAUUGGAAGUCGAAGCGGGGGUCGAAGGUCUAGGCAUGAUUGGCGACCGUGACGAAGGAUCAUCAACGCGGGAAACACGAGCAGAGGCAGAAGCAUCUGGCUCCCGUUGCUCCCCCAUUUCCAGCCGACGUCUCAUCAGUCUGUUAUCCUCCACGACUGACAGUAGUAGGUUUUUAAUCUCGCAUAACUCUAAUUUGAUUUGUGAGAGUUCAGCAGUUGAGGUGUCAUUAUAGUGACGGCCGCCAUUUUCUUCAUCUUCGACUCUCGAAGCAAAAAGGUUUGGCAAGCAACGGAUCUCAACUUAUCAAUAUCGGUAGAGUCGUUGACUAGGAUUACAUGAUCAUCUACGGCAGAAAGAGGUUCGGGCAUCUUGAACCUCUCGGGCAUCUUGUUGGUUGUCGAAUUAGCGUCCUCUUUUAAAGCUUUUCCACGAGUCAUCAUGGCGCCCAAGCGAUGAAAAUGAAAGCUUGAGAGUUUCAAUAAAUCCGAUAGAGCUCAAAUAAAUCCAAAUCAGUCCAAACUAUGAUCUCUAGAUAAAGUAGAGAUUCAAACUGAGCAGUAUUGAGCAAUAAUAAAUAACUAAGGAUGAAAUCUGAUAGAGCACAAAAAUGUACGUCCGCACAGACCAAAGGAACCAAACAGCCCUGGAAUUGGAUCCAGCACACCUGAUUUCUUCCACAUGGGCUUGAAAAGAGAGCUGAGUUCUUUAUUUGAUGUUAGAGAGAGAUUAUCAAGCCGAUUAGAGAAGCAUUUCUCUUCUGGAAACAGAUCUGUUUGUGUUGAAGGGAAAGUGUUACGAAUAGUUUCAACUUUCUUUGUAAAAAAGUUUGAAAAACUUUCCGCGAGAUCUUUAGGACAGUCAUGAGACGGUAAUUUUUUACUAGAUUUAGAAUUUAACAUCUUGGAUAUAGAAGUGAACAAAACAUGCUGAUCGUUGGCGUUUUCUUUUAUAGUUUCAGCAUAAAAGUUCAUUUUGGAAUCAUAAAUACACUGGUUUACUCUAACACAUUGUUCAACAUACAUCUCACGAUGGAUAGUGCUUUGGAUUUUUCGCCAUAGCCGCUCAAGUUUUCUCCGCUGUUUCUUUGCUUCCCUGAUCUCAUCAGAAUACCAGGGAGCAGCAGGUCUUACUGUUACAAUACUUGUAACUAGCGGAGCAUGAUUAUUUAAGAGAGAUGCCAGGGUAUCAUCAUAGCAUUUUGCUAGCUUGGAAACAUCUUCGAAUGAUUGUGUCAUUAAGUGAGAGCUUUUGAUAUCUUAGCAAAACCCGUCGCGAUCGAUGGACUUUAGUUUUCGCCUUUGUAAUUUUAUUUUUUCAGUAUUAGGUUUUUUAAGACACCUAGAUUCCCAGUGCACAGCAGAAUGGUCUGAUAUCUCUGGGUUAGUGACCCGAACAUUGUUUAGAGGUAUCUCUCCAGCUCUUGUUAUGACUAGGUCCAACGUGUGGCCAUUUUUAUGGGUAGAGCCUUGGACGUCCUGAUGAGAUUAAAAGCAUCAAGCAAAUCUUGGAACCUUUGAGCAGGUCGGUCCCCCUCAUCGUCCAAAUGAAAAUUAAAAUCUCCUGUUAUUAUAGAGGGGUGGUGGAAGUUAUAACCAUCUCAAGAAAAGAACUGAACUCCUCCAAGAACUUAGAAACAUUUAGUUUAUUCUUAUUUGAAGGCGGGGGUCGGUAGACAACAACCAUUCUUAGACUCGAUGACAUAUACUUUAUGUGGCGAUCAGUAAAUUCAAAUGAUGUAAAUGUAAUAUCAGGUGAGAGUUUUUUAAGUUUAAAGCGCUUAUUAUGCAAGAGCGCUACUCCACCACCCCUUCUCCCAACACGGGGCAAGUGAUGUAGAAAAAACCCGAGGGACAGAUGUCAUUCACAGUAAGUUGGUCAUUAAUGUCAUCCUUUAGCCAAGUCUCAGUUAUUGCUAAGAUAUCAAUGUUGUUAUCUACAACAAAGUCUUUGAUUAUAAAAGAUUUGCUCUUUACCGGCCUUGCGUUCAGUAAACAGAGCCUCGCGUUUCCGGAACAAGAGUUAACAAGCAUGGGAUCCCUUUUGAUAUUGAUCAGGUUUGAUGGAUUGCGAACAGGAGGACUGAAACGCGGGUUCAAAUGAAAUGGAUUUGUGUAUUUGUUGGUUAUUAACACAGGUAUUGCAGAAAUAGGUUUAGGAUGUGAUUUUGUACCAAGUAGGGAUGUCAGGGGAGAGUGGCAAGGUUGUCUAGGAGAGUGAACCUCAGGCUUUGUUUCGGGACCAGGGUUUAAUUUAAAUACCAAGUCUCCCUCCAGCUCAAGGUGAAAAGACGCACAAGAGUUGUUGUAGUAAUUCACGGGCUCGUUUAAACCUUCUGUCUUUCCUCCAAAUACAACAGAACAACCCUUAUCCAGACGAAGGUCUAGGUCUGAGUCUAGACAGGAAGUAUUCACUCUCAAGAGUUCGGUCGUAGAGUGUUUAGGCAAAGUGUAAGAAAAAUAAUUGCGAGGAACUGUUUGUGAAACAUUUUUAAGAUUAAGAAAAUUGUAGACUUUUUUGCUUAUUUUGGCAAAUACUGUUUAUCAAUAUAAAUAUAUCAAUAAAAAUGACUAAUUAAAGUACUUUAUGAGUUUAUUUUAUUUUGUUUUGUUUAUAUAUUUUUUAAUUUAUGAAUAAAUGUUUAUUCUUUUUAUUCAACAAUCGAUGUUGUGUUUUGGACAUUUAGUUGUAUUUGUAUUUAAGAUUGUAUUUGUAUAACUUUUAUGAGAAACUUAAUAAUAUAUAUAAAAAUAUAUGGUGUUAGCCGUAAUAUUCUUUAUCUUUUCCUUACUUGUAUGGUAACAAAUGAAAGCAAUUGUAAUCGCGUGUCUGAUUAGCGUUGCACACACAAGAGACAAGAACAAUUAAAAUUUCCUUAUACUAUGGUCUAAGUAAAUAUAUUCAAUUUAACUUAGAUUCUAAUAUUCUAUAAAAAUAAAAAUAGCUCAAAUAAUUUCUGAAGUUGAGUGGAAAAUGUUAAAAUUUAAUUUAUAUGAUAAUGUGAACGUGAAGUAAAUCCCGCGAGUCCCGCGGAACAGCCUCAAGUAAAUUUAUGCAAAACUAAGUAAAAAUAAAUGCACAGUUGAGUGAACAUGUAUUAAUUAACUAAAAAAAAAUUGAGUUGAAAAAGAUCGAUUCUAAGUGAUUUUAGCGGAGCACAUAAAAACACGUCUGAACUCCUCGAUCUCUUCGCUCGACCUGAGGUCCUCUCUAGUACACGAUACGACGCUUCGCUUUUUGUCUCAAAGUAGAGAGCAAGUCGUUGUUCUUCUCGUUGAGAAUACGACUGCCUCGUGGCCAGGAGAACAUCUCAAUCUUGCUUUGCCAUCAUUGUUUGCAGGUGUAUCUUUUCCGGAAAGCCGCUCAUCAUCAAGCGUCCUGGCAUGUUCUAGCCCUUAACCAUCGACAAUUUCUUUCUCAGCUACUAGAAAAGUGAAAAAAAUCGUCAUUCGUUUUCGUUCUUCAACAAUCGGUCCUAAAGGUAGCCAUAUUCACGUGGGAGGAGUCGAACACGUGUGCACUCUUCGAGAACAUGAGUGAGGGAAAUGAGUAAGAAUCUGUCAUGCAGGCUGGUUAUAAUAGCAAGCGCUAAAAUGCACAAAAUGCAAAUACAACUCACAGUCUAUAAAAUAUUUGCUAAAUUUUACAGAUUUGUUUCCUAAAGUUAAAUAAUCAACCCACUACAGGGCAAGAAAUAAAAAAUGACAGGAAAGCUUGUAACACACAACUAGUACCUUGGAUUUCCAGUAAGUAGCCUUUUUUUCGAAAGUUGACCAAAACACUUCAAUAUUGCAGAUUUGUGUGAUUUGUGCGAGCACAUGUUAUAUGGUAUCCAAGCGGAUACCAUUUGAAAGAUGAAAAUAUGAUGGAAUCGACCAUAACUAUCAAUUCUGAAAGGUGAUAUAGACUUAAAUAACACUGUUGUACCUGGAUACUGCCUAACCGCCUCAUAUAACUGCGGCGGUAACUCAGACAGUUACUGAGUUUAUUAUAAGUAGAGUACCUUAUUAUAGGAAAUUAAGGUUCCACUUGAUUACCUUAAUUACGUUUAUUGUUUUUUUGUAAUACAUUAAUUAAGUUGAACGUUAAUUUAGAGAACGUUAAUAAAUACUGAAUUUUAUGAAAGAUCGAAAACAAAAUUCAACGAAUUUUAAAACCAUACUCUGUUUAUUAAAAAAGAGUUCUCUCUCAAUAUUUGUGUCUUAUCUUGGGAAGCACGAGACCAUUCUUUGCUUGACGAGUGCUCCACGAGUGUUGGCCCAAAGAGAUACAACUGAACGAGGACCCGAUAAACUAUUAAUAUUCAUCAAGUAAUUUUUCAAUCGGUCGUUGUUCUCUUUAGCCGUAAAAGCUUGCAUACUUGAUGAUAAUAGUAUUUUAUGAAUGGAAUAUUUGCGAGCAGCAAAUUACCAAAAAAACCUUUCAGGAUCCGCGUUAAUUUGAAUACAUUAGGCCCAAAUUUAUUUGUUUUGUCAAAAAUUGUCGUUAAUUUGAUACGCGUUCAUUUAAUACACGUUAAUAUCUACCACCUUUAAUUCCUAUAAUAAGGUAAUCGUUGCGAAAAGCGACUAGGUUUGAGGAAAACAGCAGUUUAGUCCAUGAACCAUGCAUGGGUGGUAGGAUGGUUCGCCGGAACUGUACUGCAGUAGAAUUUCCUUUGUUCUCGAUGGCGUACAUCUACUGAGGUUUCGCGGUUACACACAUACAAUUUCAGCCUUAGUUAGCCAAUUACCGAACCUAGGUUAAAAGCACUAGUCUUACCACGGGGUAAAUCAUCCCACAAUAUCGUGGCUGUAAAAAAAACAUUCUUUCGUCCUUGUGUUCAUAAAACUGCAACAAUAUAGAUGUAAUAUGCUCUCGUUUUUCAAACAUUUGAAGCGAAGGAAAUCAAAGCGAGAGGUACUCUUCGACUCUGACUAAAAUUUAUAGAAUGUAAGGAUAACAUACAGUAAAUCAUUUAUUGCAUUACCUUCACUGUGUCCUUGCAUUGUUUUUUAUACACUUUGAAGUGUGGCUUGGCCGUUUUCUUGCAGUCUCAUGCUCAGUCAUGUUGCUUUCUUCUUCAACAAUGCCCACUAGUUAAGACAGUAAGUAUUUCUUUAUCUUCGGUAAUAAAUACUUUACUGGUCACGAAAUGAGGGAUCUGGAUAAGUGACUGGGGGAUGGGUAUUAGGGACAUUUUUACAUAAAUUGAAAUAGCAGCCUACCACUUGCCAUAUGGCAAGGCAUUCCCCAAAACCUCCCUGAAAUAAAUAUCUGUUUGUUUUUUCUGGUAGAAACAGAGCAGUGAGACAUUACAUAAAGGUUCAGCCAUAAGUUGUUUUUCUGAAAUAACUUUAUUGCUUUGAAUCGCGACACAUUCAACAGAUGUAACUUGAUGCAUCAGAACUGGCUUAGUCGCAGAAGUUGUGAGCCCACACCUCACACUCGAUCCAGUGAGUGUGUCACUCACUGUCAGCAUAAUAACACGGCAUGUCACUACAUUUGUCUUCUGUUGACCUCGUUUUUUCCACUUUUCUCACACUUUCCACAAAAUGAACUACGGAGACAAACACAUACGGUCAUUCCAAUGUCGGCAAGACAAACUCUCGCCAACUUCAUCAGCUUUCCCUUGUUCAAAGUGACAUCCCAACUUUUAUCAUCUAGAUGAACAAUUAUUUAAUUUUUAGACAAACUUCUUGGUCUUGGUUUAACGUGUCGGCUACAAA